CCGUAGGUGAACCUGCGGAAGGAUCAUUAAAA
rnacentral:rRNA from 1 species